rnacentral:rRNA from 1 species
GGGUUGUGAGGUUAAGCGACUAAGCGUACACGGUGGAUGCCCUGGCAGUCAGAGGCGAUGAAGGACGUGCUAAUCUGCGAUAAGCGUCGGUGAGGUGAUAUGAACCGUUAUAACCGGCGAUUUCCGAAUGGGGAAACCCAGUGUGAUUCGUCACACUAUCAUUAACUGAAUCCAUAGGUUAAUGAGGCGAACCGGGGGAACUGAAACAUCUAAGUACCCCGAGGAAAAGAAAUCAACCGAGAUUCCCCCAGUAGCGGCGAGCGAACGGGGAGGAGCCCAGAGCCUGAAUCAGUGUGUGUGUUAGUGGAAGCGUCUGGAAAGGCGUGCGAUACAGGGUGACAGCCCCGUACACAAAAAUGCACAUACUGUGAGCUCGAUGAGUAGGGCGGGACACGUGGUAUCCUGUCUGAAUAUGGGGGGACCAUCCUCCAAGGCUAAAUACUCCUGACUGACCGAUAGUGAACCAGUACCGUGAGGGAAAGGCGAAAAGAACCCCGGCGAGGGGAGUGAAAAAGAACCUGAAACCGUGUACGUACAAGCAGUGGGAGCCUCUUAAUGGGGUGACUGCGUACCUUUUGUAUAAUGGGUCAGCGACUUAUAUUCUGUAGCAAGGUUAACCGAAUAGGGGAGCCGAAGGGAAACCGAGUCUUAACUGGGCGUUAAGUUGCAGGGUAUAGACCCGAAACCCGGUGAUCUAGCCAUGGGCAGGUUGAAGGUUGGGUAACACUAACUGGAGGACCGAACCGACUAAUGUUGAAAAAUUAGCGGAUGACUUGUGGCUGGGGGUGAAAGGCCAAUCAAACCGGGAGAUAGCUGGUUCUCCCCGAAAGCUAUUUAGGUAGCGCCUCGUGAAUUCAUCUCCGGGGGUAGAGCACUGUUUCGGCAAGGGGGUCAUCCCGACUUACCAACCCGAUGCAAACUGCGAAUACCGGAGAAUGUUAUCACGGGAGACACACGGCGGGUGCUAACGUCCGUCGUGAAGAGGGAAACAACCCAGACCGCCAGCUAAGGUCCCAAAGUCAUGGUUAAGUGGGAAACGAUGUGGGAAGGCCCAGACAGCCAGGAUGUUGGCUUAGAAGCAGCCAUCAUUUAAAGAAAGCGUAAUAGCUCACUGGUCGAGUCGGCCUGCGCGGAAGAUGUAACGGGGCUAAACCAUGCACCGAAGCUGCGGCAGCGACACUAUGUGUUGUUGGGUAGGGGAGCGUUCUGUAAGCCUGUGAAGGUGUACUGUGAGGUAUGCUGGAGGUAUCAGAAGUGCGAAUGCUGACAUAAGUAACGAUAAAGCGGGUGAAAAGCCCGCUCGCCGGAAGACCAAGGGUUCCUGUCCAACGUUAAUCGGGGCAGGGUGAGUCGACCCCUAAGGCGAGGCCGAAAGGCGUAGUCGAUGGGAAACAGGUUAAUAUUCCUGUACUUGGUGUUACUGCGAAGGGGGGACGGAGAAGGCUAUGUUGGCCGGGCGACGGUUGUCCCGGUUUAAGCGUGUAGGCUGGUUUUCCAGGCAAAUCCGGAAAAUCAAGGCUGAGGCGUGAUGACGAGGCACUACGGUGCUGAAGCAACAAAUGCCCUGCUUCCAGGAAAAGCCUCUAAGCAUCAGGUAACAUCAAAUCGUACCCCAAACCGACACAGGUGGUCAGGUAGAGAAUACCAAGGCGCUUGAGAGAACUCGGGUGAAGGAACUAGGCAAAAUGGUGCCGUAACUUCGGGAGAAGGCACGCUGAUAUGUAGGUGAAGUCCCUCGCGGAUGGAGCUGAAAUCAGUCGAAGAUACCAGCUGGCUGCAACUGUUUAUUAAAAACACAGCACUGUGCAAACACGAAAGUGGACGUAUACGGUGUGACGCCUGCCCGGUGCCGGAAGGUUAAUUGAUGGGGUUAGCGGUAACGCGAAGCUCUUGAUCGAAGCCCCGGUAAACGGCGGCCGUAACUAUAACGGUCCUAAGGUAGCGAAAUUCCUUGUCGGGUAAGUUCCGACCUGCACGAAUGGCGUAAUGAUGGCCAGGCUGUCUCCACCCGAGACUCAGUGAAAUUGAACUCGCUGUGAAGAUGCAGUGUACCCGCGGCAAGACGGAAAGACCCCGUGAACCUUUACUAUAGCUUGACACUGAACAUUGAGCCUUGAUGUGUAGGAUAGGUGGGAGGCUUUGAAGUGUGGACGCCAGUCUGCAUGGAGCCGGCCUUGAAAUACCACCCUUUAAUGUUUGAUGUUCUAACGUUGGCCCCUGACCGGGGUUGCGGACAGUGUCUGGUGGGUAGUUUGACUGGGGCGGUCUCCUCCUAAAGAGUAACGGAGGAGCACGAAGGUUGGCUAAUCCUGGUCGGACAUCAGGAGGUUAGUGCAAUGGCAUAAGCCAGCUUGACUGCGAGCGUGACGGCGCGAGCAGGUGCGAAAGCAGGUCAUAGUGAUCCGGUGGUUCUGAAUGGAAGGGCCAUCGCUCAACGGAUAAAAGGUACUCCGGGGAUAACAGGCUGAUACCGCCCAAGAGUUCAUAUCGACGGCGGUGUUUGGCACCUCGAUGUCGGCUCAUCACAUCCUGGGGCUGAAGUAGGUCCCAAGGGUAUGGCUGUUCGCCAUUUAAAGUGGUACGCGAGCUGGGUUUAGAACGUCGUGAGACAGUUCGGUCCCUAUCUGCCGUGGGCGCUGGAGAACUGAGGGGGGCUGCUCCUAGUACGAGAGGACCGGAGUGGACGCAUCACUGGUGUUCGGGUUGUCAUGCCAAUGGCACUGCCCGGUAGCUAAAUGCGGAAGAGAUAAGUGCUGAAAGCAUCUAAGCACGAAACUUGCCCCGAGAUGAGUUCUCCCUGACUCCUUGAGAGUCCUGAAGGAACGUUGAAGACGACGACGUUGAUAGGCCGGGUGUGUAAGCGCAGCGAUGCGUUGAGCUAACCGGUACUAAUGAACCGUGAGGCUUAACCUUACAACGCCGAAGGUGUUU